ACAGGGAUGCCUCAAAGUCCUGUGACAGGUCCGCUGAGAGGUGAUAAAAAGAGAAGAGCAGUCGCUAAGACUUACAGCACUUAUUGGCGCAAGGUACUGUUCUGAGUGCCGUGUGUGUAAAUUAUCUGACCCCGCCACAAACCCAGGGCAUGGGCGCUCUCAUUGCUCUCAUUUCACAGAUGAGAAAACUGAUGCUCAGGCAGCAACCAGCAAGGGGUGGAGCCAGGAUUGGAACCCAGCAGUCCAGCUGCAAGUCCAUGCUCUUAAACGGCCCUGUGCCACCUAUCUGAGCAGAGUUCCCUAAUGACGGAUGAGGUGGAGCAUCUUUUCCUUGCUUAUUGGCCAUGUCUUUGGGAAAAUGUCUAUUCAGAGAGCUUGAGGAAUCUGGCUGAAGAAAUGGAAGCGCGUGUGACUAGAGAGAUGUCCCUUUUCGGAGGCCUGAGCACUCAGAGGAAACAAAGGAGAUAUUGAAGCAAAAGUAACUCCUGCCAGGGAGAGCUAAGUGAUUGGCCUAGGUAAGGGGCGUGGAGGGGGCUCUGUGGAGACCCCUUCGAAGGAGAAGAGAAGGUCCAAGCCAAUGUGGCCUCAGGAGACUGAUGGGACCAUUUCUGAACCCCAGUUCCUCUGACCAGCAGAAACCAGUCACGGAUUCCAGCCCAGAUCCUGUGCGACGCGUAUGUGCGGGCUCAUGUGCCUGAUCUACAUGCUCCUGAAGCCUUGUCCACAACGCGCUGCCUCUGUGCUUCUGCGGAGGACCCGAGGCUCGCAGGAACUUCUGGAAAGACAGAGCGACUCUUCAAGGGGAACCAUCAACAGAGUGUGCACCUCAGAUUCUUGCAAUAUUUUCCCCCCAAAUCCUCGCCUUGCUCUUUCUACCAACACACCCUGGACUAUUUUAUCAUGAUUCUUUCCCAAUCUGAGGCAAGCCUCCCUCCCCCACCUCCCUCCCCAUCCUGCAGAGCCGGCCUUAAAACAAACUUCCAAAUUCUCAACAAAUAUUGACCUUUCCUCCCCACUCUGAAACACCGACAAUGCUUGGAGAAGUGGUGGUGUCCCUUACCACAGUGAAGAGACUUUGUCUGAGCGGCAGAGUGUGUCAGGAAUGUGCAGGGAGCCAGCAAGGACAUAAUGCAUCAUAGGUGCACCGUCAA